rnacentral:rRNA from 1 species
CGAGUGGAGGUAUCAGACAUGUGAGGCAAUUCACCAGACCGGCCUUAGAGUCGGGUUGUUUGAGAAUGCAGCCCAAAGCGGGUGGUAAACUCCAUCCAAGGCUAAAUACUAGCACGAGUCCGAUAGCAAACAAGUACCGUGAGGGAAAGUUGAAAAGUACUUUGAAGAGAGAGUAAACAGUACGUGAAACCGCAUGCAGGUAAACGGGUGGCGUCAAGCUGCAAGCCCAGAGGAUUCAGUCGGCUAGAGUGUAGUGAAUGCGCCUGCGCAUCGAAUGGCCAGUGUAGGAUUGGAUAGUCUACUGGAAGACAGUGGGCCCUACCGUAAGGUAGGGAUGUGCGUACCGGGCGUCGGCCGGAACACGCUAUCCGUCUAUUGGGCUGCCUAGCCGGUGCACUUUCUCUGUGGUGAACACCACGACCGGUGGAACUGCCAGUCUGUCAGUGUCAAGUCGUAGUGGGCGGGCUUUCGGGUCUGCCUGCUGUGAUCACGGGCGUACUCGGUGAACGGCGUUGGUGCAUCUUUACGGUGUGUCAACGUGUUAUCGGCUACUGGUCGCUUUAUCGGGCCUGCCUGAUGCAUGUCUUAACCGUGUGUUGGGUGGUCUGGUGGACUUUGAUGGUAAUAAUAACUGUGCAGGGCACCGGAGUUUUCGGCCUCAAAUGCAGUCUGCAUGCAUGUUAUGAGUGUAUUGUGUUUGUGGGUGUCGUCGCGGGCUGGCUGUUGUUGGAUUUGAUUGUCGUGUUGCCUACGAAAAGUGGGCCCGGCAGUAGUUCGAUGCAGGUUGGUCUCGUUGGCGGUGCUUGCGAUGUAGACUGUGGUGGGCCAGAUAGUCUGUGGUGUAGUGGUAGACGAGCUACCCGACCCGUCUUGAAACACGGACCAAGGAGUUUAACAUGUGUGCAAGUCAUAGGG